rnacentral:tRNA from 1 species
GUGGCAGUAGCCCAGCGUUUGAGCCUUCGCUUGAUAUGCGAAGAGACCCGGGUGCAACUCCCGCCUGCUUCU